rnacentral:rRNA from 1 species
UCCAAGGAAGGCAGCAGGCACGCAAAUUACCCACUCCCGGCACGGGGAGGUAGUGACAAAAAAUAACGAUGCGGGACUCUUUUGAGGCCCCGUAAUCGGAAUGAGUACACUUUAAAUCCUUUAACAAGGAUCCAUUGGAGGGCAAGUCUGGUGCCAGCAGCCGCGGUAAUUCCAGCUCCAAUAGCGUAUCGUGCUACGCUGCUGGUUCGCCACCUGCUGGUGUAACUGGCAUGUCGUCGCAUGUCCUGUCGGUGGUGUGCGGGAGCCUCGUCUAGGUGACCUCUUGGGCCUCAGGUUCGAGUUGGUUGGCCGGGGGUCUAACCCGUACGCCUUCUCUACCUACCUAGGUGCUCUUCACUGAGUGUCGAGGUAGGCCGACACGUUUACUUUGAACAAAUUAGAGUGCUCAAAGCAGGCUGAAAUUGCCGCCUGAAUAGUGGUGCAUGGAAUAAUAAAACAGGACCUUGGUUCUAUUUUGUUGGUUCUUAGGAACACAAGGUAAUGAUCAAUACGGACUGGCGGGGGCAUUCGUAUUGCGNNNNNNNNNNNNNNNNNNNCGCAAGACGCACGAGAGCGAAAGCAUUUGCCAAGUAUGUCUUGAUUGAUCAAGAACGAAAGUUAGAGGUUCGAAGGCGAUCAGAUACCGCCCUAGUUCUAACCAUAAACGAUGCCAGCCAGCGAUCCGCCGAUGUUUAUUUAAUGACUCGGCGGGGAGCUUCUCCCCGGGAAACCAAAGCUUUUGGGUUCCGGGGGAAGUAUGGUUGCAAAGCUGAAACUUAAAGGAAUUGACGGAAGGGCACCACCAGGAGUGGAGCCUGCGGUUUAAUUUGACUCAACACGGGAAACCUCACCAGGCCAGGACAUUGGAAUGAUUGACAGAUUGAUAGCUCUUUCUUGAUUCAGUGGGUAGUGGUGCAUGGCCGUUCUUAGUUGGUGGAUCGAUUUGUCUGGUUAAU